GGAUAAAAGGGCCUUGGGACCAGAGCACCUCCAUCCACUCCCUCCUGAGGAGCUGACGGACCCUGUGCUGCUUGUGCACCACUCCUGAACGCCCACCCGCCGAGAUGUCCUGCCAGCAGAGCCAGCAACAGUGCCAGCCCCCUCCCAAGUGCACCCCCAAGUGCCCUACCAAGUGCCCCACCCCGAAAUGCCCCCCAAAGUGUCCUCCAAAGUGCCCUCCUGCCUCUUCCUGCUGCAGUGUCAGCUCUGGGGGCUGCUGUGGCCCCAGCUCUGGGGGCUGCUGUAGCUCUGGGGGAGGCGGCUGCUGCCUGAGCCACCACAGGCGUCGCAGGUCCCACCGCUGCAGACACCAGAGCUCUGACUGCUGCAGCCAGCCCUCGGGGGGCUCCAGCUGCUGUGGAGAGGGGAGUGGUCAGUCCUCUGGAGGCUUCUGCUGCUGAAGUGGACCCUGAGCCAAGAAGAAUAGACUUGGGCGCAGCAGAUGGCCAAAUCCUUCCUCCUCCUCCUGCUCCUUCUGCUGGACCUGCCCAUGUUGCUGAGAGAUCUGAGUGAGGCCUUUGAGCUCUGUUCCAGAGGAUCCCUGUGCCCUGGUGUCCAAGGAGCCCAAAGCCUCUCCCUCAAAGCCAUUUACUGAUCUCCUUCCCCGUACUUCCAUGAUGUGUGGCUGCCCUGGGAACCCCAAAGCUCAGACCCUGUGUGUCUCCUUAGCUUAUCUUUUUGCAUACCCCAGCCUGAUGUGACACAAUAAAACUAGAAAUCUGCAUUCCCUCUUGCCUUGA